CACGUAGGGCGCAAGCGUUGUCCGGAAUUAUUGGGCGUAAAGAGCUCGUAGGCGGACUGUCACGUCCGCUGUGAAAAGCUAGGGCUUAACCCUGGCCUUGCAGUGGAUACGGGCAGACUAGAGGUAGGUAGGGGAGAAUGGAAUUCCCGGUGUAGCGGUGAAAUGCGCAGAUAUCGGGAGGAACACCGGUGGCGAAGGCGGCUCACUGGACCGGUACUGACGCUGAUGCGCGAAAGCGUGGGGAGCAAACGGG
rnacentral:rRNA from 1 species